UAAUUCUAGUGGCGGACGGGUGAGUAACGCGUGGGUAACCUGCCUUAUACAGGGGGAUAACAGUCAGAAAUGGCUGCUAAUACCGCAUAAGCCUACGGAGUCGCAUGACUCAGCAGGAAAAAUUCCGGUGGUACAGGAUGGGCCCGCGUCUGAUUAGCUAGUUGGUGAGGUAAUGGCUCACCAAGGCGACGAUCAGUAGCCGGCUUGAGAGAGUGAACGGCCACAUUGGGACUGAGACACGGCCCAAACUCCUACGGGAGGCAGCAGUGGGGAAUAUUGCACAAUGGGGGAAACCCUGAUGCAGCAACGCCGCGUGAGUGAAGAAGUAUUUCGGUAUGUAAAGCUCUAUCAGCAGGAAAGAAAAUGACGGUACCUGACUAAGAAGCCCCGGCUAACUACGUGCCAGCAGCCGCGGUAAUACGUAGGGGGCAAGCGUUAUCCGGAUUUACUGGGUGUAAAGGGAGCGUAGACGGUUUUGCAAGUCUGAAGUGAAAGCCCGGGGCUUAACCCCGGGACUGCUUUGGAAACUGUAGAACUAGAGUGCAGGAGAGGUAAGUGGAAUUCCUAGUGUAGCGGUGAAAUGCGUAGAUAUUAGGAGGAACACCAGUGGCGAAGGCGGCUUACUGGACUGUAACUGACGUUGAGGCUCGAAAGCGUGGGGAGCAAACAGG
rnacentral:rRNA from 1 species